AGAGCCAGUUCUCUUCAGGAGCAUGCCAGGCUGAAGCUUUGUCCUAUGGAGAAGCAGAAAAGGUCAGAGGAGGAGAAAGAAAGAGCCCUUCCCGGUCAAGGAGCCAGCCAGGGAGGGAGACAAAAGGAAGGAGGCUCCAUGGAGUGCAGUACCAAUGAAGACCUGCAUAGGAGGGCCUGAGUCUGCUCAUUGGACCAACUUGUGAGAGGAAAGUAUUCAGGGGCACCUCUGAAGAUAGCUGUAUGAAGAUGAGGAAAACCCCACAGAUUUCACAAGCAUCUCUACAAGACUUCCUGUUUUCCACUUCUCCAUUUGUCAGACUCAGCCCAUUAACUGUGGUUCAGUUUUGGUCCAAAGCUUUCUAUCGGACUCCUCUGCUAGCCAAGGAGUACAGUCUUAUCUGAAUCCCAGAGGCACAUGCCCUGAGUAUCCCACCACUUGAAGAUUGCUAGUGAGGUCAGAGGUGAUAUUAGCAAAUGUGAUUUUCCAAUACUGAACCAUGAAAUAUGUCACCGUUUGCAAAAUAAGUGCAGCACAGGUAACCGAUAUUUCCAGGUGAUCAAUUCAUGAUGUAAAAUUCCAUCAAAGAAUAAGACGGAUCAAUGGAUUUUAAUGUAACAGCAUAUUAAAAGGUUUCCAAGCUGUAACUCAAUUUAAGAAACUACCAUUUGUUGAAUGUUGCUAUAAUUUCCAUGAAAGCCCACACUUAGCAGAAUGCAAUCAAAGCAAAUAUCCCUCACUUUUCUACCUCCUUGACUGCGUGAGGCCAUGUUGGAUUCGUAUACUCAUAUAAAACAAUAUGACAACAGACUAUCUAAACACCUCUAUAGCCACUGAGCUAAUUUCUAUUAAGAAAGACACUAAAGGGAUUUUUGAAAUUGGAAAACUCAGCAUCCUGGGCAUUGUGGUGUGCACACCUACAUGGCAGCAGCCAGCACUUGGGGAAUGAAGGCAAAAGGUACAAGGCCAGCCUUGGGCUAAUAAGGAGAGUUCAACUCUGGCCUAGGUCAUAUAAUACCUUGUCUCAAAACAAACAAAAGAUCAAAAAAAGUAAAAUCAGGUUGCUGUUCUUGCUAAUUUUGUUUUGAAAACAAACAAAAAAAUUAAUCUUGUAUUCACAUGUAAUUUGUUAUUAUAUUUGAAUAAAGUAAUAUAUAGUAAAGUA
rnacentral:lncRNA from 1 species